rnacentral:snRNA from 1 species
GUAUUCCAUACGGAAUACAUAUACUAAAUUUUGAACGAUACCGAGAAAAUUAGAAUGGCUCUGCGCAGGUAUGACACGCAAAAUCGUGAAGCGUUCCACAUUUUU